rnacentral:rRNA from 1 species
AAGGAGAAGAAGGGAGGGGUGAGGGCGGCGAGCAAAGUUUGGGAGGAACGCUGGGGUCGGCGCUACCGGCGGCGAUAGCGGCCGCUGCGGCUUUGGCUGGAGUGGGACGGGCAGAGCCUACUGGAGCUGCUGUUGCCAAAGGGGCGCAGUGGGGGUGGCGUCGGUGGUGGUCGUCGAAGCGGCUGCUGAAGAUGGCGUCGCCGUAGCUGACCAGGAGGGACGUUCGGGGAGGAAGAGUAGCCUCCUCCGGUCGGCGACCUUGUUAUCUCUGUCACACGCCGGGCAACCAAGUCUUCUUAGAGAAGGUCCGCACCCCCUAGCUCUUCGGUCGGCGACCUUACCGCGUCUUUCAAACGCCGGGCGUCCAAGUCUUCUUGGAGAAGGUCCGCACCCCUUAGCUCUUCGGCGGCGCCCUUCUCCGCCGCGUCCCCCGGGGACAACCCCGAGCCCGGAGGAGGAGGAGAGGAAGAGGAAGAGGAAGACCACGAACCGGGCCAUCCUUCGCCGCGACCCCUCCGAGCCUGCUCUUGCCCCGCAGGUCCUUCGGGCAGCGAACGGGGAAGAUGUUCUUCUAAGGGCCAUGCGGCAAGUGCCACCUGCGUAAAGCCAUACCUCGUCAACUCCCCACGAGACGAAUAAAAGAGUCGGUAAAGGUAACACUAGUAAUGCCACCCAAUUGGUUCUUCACCACAGCACCAGGAUAGAUAACAUGACGUGAGUGACGUGCGGACCACUUCUACAAUGAUAGUUAACUGAGACGCAUACAAACAGGGAACCUCGAACUAUGACUCAUACAGUAGCUGCCUCACUUCCAAUGGAAGAACCUCCGGUUAGUAACGGGACCACGUCGGGAUUAAGUGAAAGCAGAAUCACUACCGUUCUGGAUAGAGGUGUGACCCCUAAAAUCUCGUAGUUUUAGUUACGUUAACGUGGGUGAGGAGGUUUGACCGGCGUAUUCAAACGAAAUAGACCUAUGUUGUAUAACGUUAGGUUUUAUGUUUAAAGGUGGUGUCCUCCUACAAUAACUAAAACAACAGUCCUGUCGAGUUUCCAUAGAUUUCUUCGUUGGUUUUUGUGAAUAACAACAACCCCGUAUAUCGUAGCCCUUUCUCUUACAGAUAGAUCGUUAAAGAGUUCGAAAUCUCCAGGGAUAUAUGUGACUACGUAGUGCUUCCGCCUAAGAAGUGAGUAAACCGACCGGUCUGAACAGGUUUUCCUAUUCAAGUACGUUAGUUUCAAGUGGUGAAGUACAAGACGGGGAACGUAGUGACGUUGUACUCUUGAACUUCUUCAUGAACCUCUGAGAACUGGUUUCUAAAGAUCGACACGACCGAAAAGCUGGAUGUCCAACCUGAAAAAGACUCCGUCGACCUUUCCUCGAACUGAAUUAAUUUGGAUCGAGAUCUCCGUCUCAAUGUUAGAUACCACAUGGAAUAUCGCUCGUGAGUUCAAAGUCGCUCGAAUCCCUGAAAAACUUCAAAGACUCUGGAGUUUUCCAUUAAGGGUGACAAUUACAACCAUUACGCCGUUUGGCUCUAUUUUACGUUCGAAUAAAGGCCCUUACCGAGUUCUCGUGCACUACCUACCUCCGUACUUCGCACUAGUCAAUAUUCGACAUGUGUAAUAUUUAUGGCUGUUCUCUCCUAAUUCGCGUAGUCCGUAGAAUGAGACCCUCCCAUAUUUGAAUGAUCGGACAGUAACAGCUGCACUUAAGACACUGCACAUACAUGUCAUAUAAUAUAGAUCCUCUGUUACAGUGUUAGUUUGCUUCCUUGACUACCUCCUAGUUCUCAUCUAAUACGAAUUUUCACGUCCGUACUCUGCCGCCUUCCCAUUACUGUUACCUCUCUAGGCGAUCUACACUGUUUGCGACCGGUGUAAAAAAUCAGCAACAGGAAGCAUACUUGGGACACAUGACUAUGCUAACCAAAAUGAAUUGAUGGACCGCGUUACAAAGUCAUUAUUCCUUCUUUUAACUACC